GUGCCUGAAAAAAGGGUUUAGGAAAGCUCAGUUAGCAAUAGCCUCUAGGGAGCAUGAUAUAGCCAAAAGUUCACUAGGUAAAGAAGUAUGGUAGAGACCCUGAAGAAGGAAGGGACAGACUGUAAAAGUUAUCCAGGCAGGGAGGUGUGAACUGCAGAGCUCUGCAGACAGUGGAGAAACCUGAGACCUUAUAGCAGAAGGAGCUUCUGCUGGAAUCCAGAGAUUUUUGUUUUGGGACUUCUACGUUUUAUCUGGGCUCUGAGGGAAGGAUCAGCCUGCUGAGCCUCAGACUCCUUUUGAGUCCCACUUAAGAGUGGACUCUGGCAAGGUAGUGGAAUCUUCAAACCUCUUCUCUGAGGACAAGCUGCUGCCUUCAGCUGACAAAGGAUUGAGGAUAUUUCCUGACUGCUGUUCACAGGGAAAGCAGUUGGCUCUGCCAAUGGAAAAUGAAGCCAAUGGUUUUCAGUGGGAGCAGAAUCAAAGGGAGCGUGCGGGUUAAGAAAAAAAGUAUGCUCGGAGUACUUAGGACGCUAAUUACCGUUUAGUCAUGCCACGAAAAGAAGAUUACACAGGAAAAAGUGGAGAGCCUGGAAAGUGGUGAAGAAGAAUUCUAAAAAUACAUGGAACCCUCAUAACCCUUUUUUUUAUUACCCCUCCCAAAAAUACCAGGACUGAACUGAGGGAGGGGGCAGAGAGUAUGUAAGUGGUUGUGCUAUGUGGACACUGUCAAUGCAACUAGUUAGGAGGAAACUCUGACCAUACGGUAGUGUCACAUCUUUAAAAUCCAAAUUGAAUAUGGUAAGAUUAAUAAAUGAAAAGUGAUUCAAAAUGCUACUUGACUUAGAAAACUCAGGAUAUGCUUGGGGGAGGAGGGAGAAAGGUAUUUGAAUGUUUAAAAAUUAAAGAGAAGCAGCUUUGCCUACAGUCCUCCUGACAAAGUUGUUAGGCAAUAUUGCAUGACAGCAUACUCUGUAAUUUUCACAUGUUGAAGGGUUAUUUAAAAACUGAUGAUAAAAUGCUAUUGUGCAAGAGGAAUAACGUUCUACUGUACAAUUUAGAAAACAGGAAGCAAACAAUCUCAAAAACGCACUCUCCUAACCUCACUGGAAGUCUCCACACCAAAGGAUUAGCUUAGCAAACUGAAAUGGAUAUUUCAUAUUUUUCUUACUUGACUAACGCCCCUUGGGAGUUAGUAAUGAGAGACUCCACCCUACAUAAAGGCAACUUUAUUCUCUGCAACUGUAAAAUACUCAAGUGGUUUCAAAGUAAUCUGGAAAUUCUUUGUGCUCAACCUCUAGUAAGUUUGAUGCUGCUGUUUUCAAAAGGACACUUCUCCAACUUUAGCUUUUGCUGAAGGAAGGGGCAUGCUGUGCAAAACUCUUAUUUUGUGUAGGUGUUAAUUAUGGCAAACGUCUGAUAAGAUCUUCUUUGUAGAUAAAUAGUAGAGUGAGGACAAAUGUGAAUGAUUUUCUUCACAGCACCAGGUAUGAGAAGGAAAGUGCUAUGUCCUAUAUACUAAUAACCUAAUGAAAUUUUAGCUUUUUCCAAACUGAACAUACAGGGUGACACUUUAUCCCAGCAGCCAUUUACUGUUAUCAUCUUUACACUUUUCUUUUCCCUGUACAACUCUGCAGGUUGUUUUUUAUUUAGUUCAGUAGUCUCCUGGGUUGAGUAAAGAUCAGAGAGCAGCUCCUGUUCCUUCGUUCAUUCUCCCCCACAAUUUAUGUGCUGUAUUUUUAUUGCUUCCUCCACUUCAGCAGGGGAUAGGGUGCAGCUCUCUUUCACCUCCCAGUGGUUUAACAAGCCCCAACUGCCAGCUGUUCAUUCCAAGCCCGGAAUCCCAGGCCAGUCUUCAUGGCUAGUUUUUCCUUUCCUACCCGGCUCUGGCACAUACACCCCCAUCACUGAAAUAUAUUCUGCUGCUCCAUCAGAUAGCCACCCCUCUUCCCUCCUUGGUCUCCACAAGGGAUUGUUGUGUUCUGUGUGGAAGAGGGGGCAAGGGCAUGGACACUCAGUGUGGCAUAUCCCACUUUGCAACAGCAGCAAAAAUUAUGCAAUUUGCAUUGUAAACUGUUUCCCAGAGCAGCUGUCACUCCCACUCCAUGGCUUUCAAAGACCACACAACAGGUUAGAGCACAGGAGUACUAAGCAGAGCUCUGUGAGUCAUGCUGACAGUCAUGGGAGAGUGGUGUCAGAGAAGGCUCAGGAGGAAAGGGACUCCCCUUCCUCCUCAGAGCUUGAGAGCCAAAGAGUCUUCCAUUUGUAUCGCUGAAAAUCCCAGGCCUGUAUCAGUACCUGGAUCCACACAGUUGCUGGAUGAUGAAGCAGAUUCCUGGCUCUUCUAGAGACGUGCAUUUCAGGAGGCUUGCAUUCUCCUGCUGUGCAGUUUGAAGGGUGGAGGGGAGUAUACAGUCCUAUUCAUUCUAUUGUACAGUAUGGUGGCCCUACCGCAGGUAGUGACCAGCCCAGAUCCUCAAAGAUAUUUAGGCACUCAGCUCCCCAUAGGAUUUAAGUGCCUAAAUACCACUGAGAAUCUGGGGCCAAGUGCUUAAAAUAAAUGUGUGAUUUGCUGAGAGUUAACAAGGAGCAGAAAACAUUUAGUUACUCAGUACAAUGUUCCCAUCUAUGUAUGUAUUAUCUGAAGUACUUAUAUGGCCCCCAUCAUGGUAGUGUAUGAGCACCUGAUAAUCUCCUAGUGCAUUUAUCCUCUCAAAGCCCCUGGGACAUAGGGCAGCAUUAUUUUGCAGUUGGGGAACUGAGGCACAGAGAAACAAAGUGACUUGCCCAAGGUCACAGGACAUCUGGAGAGGAGCAGCAAACAGAACCCAGGUCUGCCAACUCCUAUGCUAGCACCCUACUCACUGGACAGAUCUUCUUCCUCUCCCAGACGCUCA